GAACGAGGCGGCGAGGCGACCGCCGAUCGACCGGUGGUAGAUCGUGGAUCAGGAAACCGAGGCAGGAGAAGCAGGCGGCUGCCGGUCGGAGCGUGAGGUGAACUGAAUUUCAGAGUGAAAGAGAUCUUUGGUUUUGCCUUUGCUGACUGCUGAUCUGAUCGUCUCAAGUCUGGUGACCUGCUGCAGAAAACCCUCUCCCUCUAUCGUUGACAAGCAAUUAACAAGCAAUUUCAGUCUGUCCUAUCACUCUCCCUCUCCCUGCUCCAUCUUUUUUGACAAGCCAUUCUAUCUUCUAUCAUUUCUCCGCCAUGAGCUCUAUCUAAUUUUGACAAGCUUAAACCUGUGUUGACAAGAAACCAAGUUUGACAAGAAACCAAGUUUGACAAGAAACCAAGUUUGACAAAAAAACAAGUUUUUGGAAAUUGAGGUUACCACAACUUCGACGAUCUGUUUUCAGAAAUCUGAGAGAUCUCUGCUCUCACUGCUCCUUCUUUCCUGUCGUUAAACUCAUCCACUCAUUUUACUGGAAAUUACAAGUAGAAUGUUGAAUAUACAGUAGUAGAAUUACAGUACAGUAGAACUCACAGUAGAAACUACUUAC
ensembl:lncRNA